CAAAAUCAAGGCCAGCUUUAGUCA
rnacentral:piRNA from 1 species